rnacentral:rRNA from 1 species
GACGAACGCUGGCGGCGUGCUUAACACAUGCAAGUCGAACGGAAAGGCCCUGCUUUUGUGGGGUGCUCGAGUGGCGAACGGGUGAGUAACACGUGAGUAACCUGCCCUUGACUUUGGGAUAACUUCAGGAAACUGGGGCUAAUACCGGAUAGGAGCUCCUGCUGCAUGGUGGGGGUUGGAAAGUUUCGGCGGUUGGGGAUGGACUCGCGGCUUAUCAGCUUGUUGGUGGGGUAGUGGCUUACCAAGGCUUUGACGGGUAGCCGGCCUGAGAGGGUGACCGGCCACAUGGGGACUGAGAUACGGCCGAGACUCCUACGGGAGGCAGCAGUGGGGAAUAUUGCACAAUGGGCGGAAGCCUGAUGCAGCAACGCCGCGUGCGGGAUGACGGCCUUCGGGUUGUAAACCGCUUUCGCCUGUGACGAAGCGUGAGUGACGGUAAUGGGUAAAGAAGCACCGGCUAACUACG